rnacentral:lncRNA from 1 species
GACUCUGGCAGCGUCUCUUUGGAGUCUGAGGUGGAAGAGUUGUUGUGGUGUUUUGUUGGAGGAGAGUGAGUCUAUGUGGUGUAGUUGAAGUGAGAGAGGUUCAGAGUCGGAUAGAGAUUCUUGUUCUGAUUCUUGUGGCCAUGAGAGGGUUGAAGGGUUAGGGAGAGAGUGAAUAGGUAGAGUUUGGGUUUGGAAAAGAGUGGUGGUGGUGGUGGAUGAGAGUGUGAAGGAGAUAGCUAAUAAUAGGAAGAGAAGGGUUCUUUUGUUGUAGUUCUCUUCCAUUGUAGUGAGAGUGAAGAGAAAAGAGUGUGAUAUGAGAGUAGUAGAAAUGGUGAAUAAAUAAGUAGUGGUACUAGUAGUAAGUAAUAAUUGAAUGAGAAGAGAGUGAGAGUGAGGUUCGGUGCGGUUGUGUUGAAAUGAGUGUG